UUUCCGUAGGUGAACCUGCGGAAGGAUCAUUAACAAAUCUUGUGGGUUUAAGGGAAAGUGUGGUUGUGCCAUGUUACUUACUUUACGUGAGUAGCUGUCAUAAUCACAUUACCCCCAUCCCAACACAUUGACUCGGGCGCUGCUCUGAUUACCAGUUUUCUUUUUCUGGUCUGCUGGUGGUCAGUGGAGAUUGCCCUGAGACAUACACGCUUGUUUUGUUUGAUAGUUAUAUAUUGGUGAAUUUAAUUAUGACAACUUUUAACAAUGGAUCUCUUGGCUCUU
rnacentral:misc_RNA from 1 species